AUUGAACGCUGGCGGCGUGCUUAACACAUGCAAGUCGAUCGGUAACAGGUGUAGCAAUACAUGCUGACGAGAGGCGGACGGGUGAGUAAUGCUUGGGAAUCUGCCUAUUAGUGGGGGACAACCCGGGGAAACUCGGGCUAAUACCGCAUACGCUCUACGGAGGAAAGCCGGGGACCGCAAGGCCUGGCGCUAAUAGAUGAGCCCAAGUCGGAUUAGCUAGUUGGUAGGGUAACGGCCUACCAAGGCGACAAUCCGUAGCUGGUCUGAGAGGACGACCAGCCACACCGGAACUGAGACACGGUCCGGACUCCUACGGGAGGCAGCAGUGGGGAAUCUUGCGCAAUGGGCGAAAGCCUGACGCAGCGACGCCGCGUGAGGGAUGACGGCCUGG
rnacentral:rRNA from 1 species